AUUUUUUUGUGCGGCAAAACGUUUUGCCUAAUGCCAGAUGGCUUUAAUUUAUUUUCUAAAUUAUUUCCCAUAUUCUAAGAGCAAAUGAAAACACACACUUUUCCAGUCCUUCCACUCUUUGGAUAUUCUUUCUGUACACAGUGCUUAAAACUUGAUGGAAAUCGAAAUCAAAGUCGGUCGAAAAGAUGAGCGAAAGAGCGAAAAACAUUGCCAGAAGUUGCCU
rnacentral:lncRNA from 1 species